rnacentral:lncRNA from 1 species
CCUUGACACUGCUAUCAGGAGAUAUGACCUUUGUCAUUUCUGCAGGUUUAAAUUGUUGGCUGAUGCGUUUCUGCGGGUUUUAAAGCAAAUUAUCUAUUUUGACAAGAUUUUAAAGACAAAUGUAUUCUCUCUGUAAACCCUGACAAUCUAUUUGGUUUCAUCCAAAAACAUGCAGUUCUUGUUUUUGUUUUUCCUAUUCUUAUCUGGUUUUUUUUUUUUUUUUUUAUCAUAAACUUUCAUUGUCUUUCA